UACAGAGGGGGCAAGCGUUGUUCGGAAUUACUGGGCGUAAAGGGUGCGUAGGCGGCGAGGCAAGUCUGGUGUGAAAUCCCGGGGCUCAACCCCGGAACUGCACUGGAUACUGCUUUGCUAGAGUACUGGAGAGGGAACUGGAAUUUACGGUGUAGCAGUGAAAUGCGUAGAUAUCGUAAGGAAGACCAGCGGCGAAGGCGAGUUCCUGGACAGUUACUGACGCUGAGGCACGAAGGCCAGGGGAGCAAACGGG
rnacentral:rRNA from 1 species